CCUACGGGAGGCAGCAGUGAGGAAUAUUGGACAAUGGGCGCAAGCCUGAUCCAGCCAUGCCGCGUGCAGGAUGACGGUCCUAUGGAUUGUAAACUGCUUUUAUACGAGAAGAAACACUACUUCGUGAAGUAGCUUGACGGUAUCGUAAGAAUAAGGAUCGGCUAACUCCGUGCCAGCAGCCGCGGUAAUACGGAGGAUCCAAGCGUUAUCCGGAAUCAUUGGGUUUAAAGGGUCCGUAGGCGGUUUAAUAAGUCAGUGGUGAAAGCCCAUCGCUCAACGGUGGAACGGCCAUUGAUACUGUUAGACUUGAAUUAUUAGGAAGUAACUAGAAUAUGUAGUGUAGCGGUGAAAUGCUUAGAGAUUACAUGGAAUACCAAUUGCGAAGGCAGGUUACUACUAAUUGAUUGACGCUGAUGGACGAAAGCGUGGGUAGCGAACAGGAUUAGAUACCCUGGUAGUCCACGCCGUAAACGAUGGAUACUAGCUGUUGGGAGCAAUCUCAGUGGCUAAGCGAAAAGUGAUAAGUAUCCCACCUGGGGAGUACGUUCGCAAGAAUGAAAACUCAAAAUGAAAUUGACGG
rnacentral:rRNA from 1 species